CUCCAAAUCUGUGCAAGCACAUUGGGUUUGAUGCCUACUGGAUGCCAACUUUCACCAAUGGCUGCCAAUACACAACACGGCAUGAUCAAGGAGAACUACAACGAGGUCAGAAUCAUUACAAAAAGAAAAUUAGGAAGAAAAAAAGCGAUCUCAAGCUGCCACCCUCCUCCAGCCCUCCACCCUCCUCCCGCCCUCCAACCCUUCACCCCUCACCUACAAUCCUCUAAUGCCAUCUGCACCACCAACGGGAGAACAGACGCACCAUGCCCAUGCCAAGAGGCGGACAAAGACCCUGCCGGAUCCCUGGAGUACGGGCGCUUUCAGAGAAGCCAUCUUGGGAGUUGUUGCCGCGGCACCUAAAAUGGCUGGAUUGGCACACGAGGUCUGACUGUGGUGUGAUUUCUGAGGCUCAUGAUGUUUACUUCGUGGUCAACCGUCCUGCCAUGGGAUGAUUUUGAACAGAACCACUGCCCUACACCAUCAGACCGUUUAACGACUAUCACUUUCAUACAGUAUGAUGAGCUACAGAACAAACUACUGUAGACAUCUAAACUCGAGGAAGUUCAGGAUACAUGCUCUACAAAACCUUGCCUCCUUCUUCAGAAAACCUAUCAGUUUGGAACUAUGUCUGGCUACCAUCUGACUAAAACAUCUGAUUAUACAUCUGAAUGUCUUUUACUUGGCUAUGCACAUGCUUCGCUGAUCUGAGACUGAUUAUUAAAGAAAAAAGUAGGAGAUUUUAUGAUACUGAAUUGUUGUGCCAUGAAAUUAAGUGAAUUUGUUGCAUUUAGAUUUGCUUGUAAAUUGUAUUUUAAAAUGUAAUAUGUUUCCUAAAUAAAGUGAU